CAAAAUUAUGUCCAACGAGCUUCCAAGUGGACGAUAAGUGUGGCAAUUUCAGUUGCGCUUUAGAAGCCAUAAAAAGAUAUCCAGCAAGUGAAAUGCCCCAAAAAUGCAGUUGUAGUUCACAAGGGAGUGGCAGCCUAUGCUCCUGCUCCAUAGUUUGCCAACCUCCAAAAUAAAAUGCAAUUAUAUUAGCAAGUUUAUGAGUAUAUUGUUCUGGGAAUUGUUUUGAUAUACUCUGUGGAGUGUGUAAACAGGAAAUUUAUAUUUCCAUUAUUCACCAACUAAUAAAAGAUCGCUUCUAUUUUUUUAUUACCUUGCUGUUGUUCUUUUGCUUCGAUUUUUUACUAUCUUGUUGGUGUUAUUACUUACUGCUAUAGCUUCUUUUUCAUGUUUUCUUGAGCCAAGGAUUUAUUAGAAAUAUCAUCUUUAUCUUCUCAAGGUAAGGGUAAGGCGGCAUACAGUAUCUUCCCCAAACUUUACUUAUGGAAAUUAUACUGGGUUUGUUUUUAUUGUCAACUAAUAAAAGACUAAAUUUUUUAGUUUCUAUUAUCUAAUUACUUUGUCCCUUUUACUUUUUUUAUUUGGCAUAAUUAACUUUUGUUCAAGGAUAAUUAAGAAAAUUACUCUAGUAGACUUAGGAAAAUGAAUUAAAUAUCAUUGGACUAAUUUCUUUUGGCAAAUUCUCAUCCACUAACGAAAUUAAAUGGCUCGUUAAAAAGAUUUUAAAGUAACACUACUAUAUGGUACAAUAGGUAACAACCAUCCAAACAAGCUAUAUAGAAAAAGAGUUUUUCAUGCUGGAGUUUUCAAUAAAGAAUUUUAGGUGCUCCCACUUUUUAGCUAGCACAUGCAAUUCAUUUCAAUCGACCACAUGGUUAGACGAAAUGAUCUUUCAAGCCCCGAUAUAUAUAGGCACAGUUUAGGAGCUUAUGUCGAAAAAGAGUGACCACCUUCCUUUUAUGUCUUUGAUUGAUCAAUGUAUACUCAGGUGAUCCCCCAACUAUCUAAAAUUAUGAAUAAAUAUUACUUUUCUUUCAUGUGUAACAGGAUAUCCACUCAACUAUUCCUAUUGUAUACUUGAUAGUUACUCAACCAGAAUUAUUAAAGUUUUCGGUGGAAACAUAUGACGUGGUAGUUCAUAUGAAUUUUUUUAUAUUUAUGGACCAAAUAAAAUAAUUAAUGCCCAAACAAAACAUAGAAAGUUUACCCACACACCCAACCUAACCUGUUAAAAAUAAAAAUUCACCCGCUAAAUAAAAUCAAGCGCUAAAACGAUUCCCUAUUGCAAAUGCAUCUCUCUUCUUCUUAUAAAAAAAGAACUUGUAUUUUCAUGGUUUCAUUCUAGUCCUUAAUUUCGCAUCCACUAUUAUUUUAUAAAAAAUAGAAGAAAAUUCAUGAAAAGAAGAAUACAGGUCAUUGAGAAAAGAAGAGCAUGUCACUUUAGUCUGUAGUCCUUAACCUCAUAUCCAUUAUUAUUUUAUAAACUAGAGUAAAAUCAUGAAAAAAUGAAGAAAUAUGCUUUUUAUAAUAAGAAGAGAGAUGCAUUUACAACAGGGAUGCAUUUUAAUGUUUGAUUUUAUUUAGUGGUGAAUUUUUAUUUUUAGCAGAUCGGGUUGGUUGUAUGGUUAAAUUUUCUAUGUUUUGUUUGGGUGUAAAUUAUUUUAUUCGGUCCAAAAAUAUAAAAAGUUCAAAUGGACUGCCACGUCACAUUUUUUCACUGAAAUAUUUGAUAAUUUUGAUUGGAUGAUCAUCUAUAUGUAAUGGGAAUAGUUGGAUGAUACAAACGAAAAAAGUGACUUUAGCCUCUAAUUUUGGAUAGUUGAGCAAUCAUCUGACUAAUUGAGUCAACUUACGUGAUGACCCAAUAGGUCAUCUUACAUUUUUGAACCUAAUUCUGCGCUUUGAAGCUUUAAAUAUCUCAUCUUAGCCCUCUUCGAUUUGCAUGCACAGUUCGGGUAUUUUUUCCGAAAAACUUUUAUGUUAAAAACUGAGAAAAUAUGAAAUUUAUAACUUAAAUCCAUUUGAGUUGACUUCGGUCAACGUUUUGAGAAAACGGACCCGGAUUCAUAUUUUUAAUGUUCCGGCGAGUCCGGAUCGUGAUUUGGUACUUGGGCGUAUGCACGGAAUCGAAUUUGGAAGUCCCUAGCCCGAGUUAUCGGACUUUGUUGAAAUUUGAAAGUUUAAAAGCUUAAUGACUUUGAAAUGUUUGACUUUAUUGAUAUCAGGUCCGUAUUCGGGUUUCGAAAUCCGGUAUAGGUCCAAUACUAUAUUUAUGACUUCUCUGUCAAAUUUGUUGAGAAACGGAGUUGGUUUGACGUGAUUCGGACGUUUAUUUGUGAAAUUAGAAGUUCAUGAGUUUUCUUGAAAAUUUCCUUUGAUUUGAUGCUCAACUCGUAGUUCUAGGUGUUACUUUGGCGAUUUAAUCUCGCGAGCAAGUUCGUAUGAUGUUAUUGAAUUUCUGUGUAUGUUUGGUUUGGAGCCCCGAGGGCUCGGGUGAGUUUCAGAAAGGGUACGGAGUGAAAUUUGGACUUAGGAAUGUGCUAUGGUGUUCUAGAUCUAGUGCAGGCCUCAAACCUUGCAAUUGCGAGGUCAGGCUUCGCGUUUGUGACCUCUGAUAGGUUCGUAUUUGCAAGCAACUCAUCGCAUUUGCGAAGAGUAGCUGGGGCACCUCAUAUUCGCAUUUGCGAAGUGGGACAGGGGGUUACAGUGAUCGCAAUUGCAAUCAGACAGUCGCAUUUGCAAAGUGGGACAGGGGGGGUAUAGUGAUAGCAGGAAUGGAAGGACUUCCCAUUUCCAAUUGUUUCUUUGCAUUUACGGGGCUCGCAUUUACGAACUCCAUGUGACUGAUCAAAUAGCUAAAAAUAUGGGAUUUUUGUUCAUUCUCUCAAAUUUUUAAACUUAGAAACCCUAGAGGUGAUUUUUCAAAGAACUCUUUUUCCCCGAAUCAUUGGUAAGUGAUUCUAAACUAUUUCAAUCUUUCAUUGAAUUUCCUAACAUUUCAACUUAAAAUCUUGUGCUUCCAUGGUGGAAAUUGGGGGUUUUGGUAGAAUUUUUUGUAAAAUGGAAAUUUAGACCUCAAAUUAAGGUCGGAUUCCAAAAUAAAUUACAUAAUCGGGCUCGGGGGUGAAUGGGCAAUCGGGUUUCAGUCUGAAUUUCAGGUUAGGACCAAGUGAGGUCGGGAGUUGACUUUUUCAAUAAUGACCUAAAUUAAAUUCUUUGCAAUCAUGGGUAGUUCCUAAGGCUUAAAAUCAUUUGGUUGGUAAUUUGCUAGAUUCUAUUGGUUCGGAGGCUUGUUUGAAAGGCAAAGUCGUGGCUUUGAAUUGAUCCUUUGAAGCGAUGUAAGUGUCGUGGUUAACCUUGACUUGAGGGAAUAGGACUUGUUUGUCUAUUUGCUACAUAUUUAGAUGUUGGGUUCAAGGUAUAUGUGAGGUGACGAGUACUUAUGCGUUAUUGUCGGGUUAAAGCAUUCCUUGCAAUUAUUCCUUACUUUGAUCAUGUUAUCCAUGCUUAAACUAGUUAUUUGUUAAAUUGAUCGUUCUUAUCGUGUUUAUGGGUUUUUGGUGAUAAUUGGGUAUUAAUUUCAAAGUUGAGAUUGGUAUUGUGGAAUCAUUGUUGAAGUAAGUCUUGUUCUUGUUAUUCUAUCUCCGCGUUGUUACUUGUUUAUUGUUAUAUGGUAAGGGAGAGUGUUAAUGCACGAAGGGUGAUGUCGUGCCAUGUUAUGAAAGUUAAUGCACGAAAGGUGAUGUCGUGUCGUUUCUAUUAAUUUAUACUGUGAGUGAGAGUAAAAGCACGAAGGCUGAUGCCGUGCAGCAUCAUUGUUUCAUUGUGAGGCUUAGAGUAAAAGCACGAAGGGUGAUGCCAUACAAUUUACUUUAUUUUGCUUAACUAUUUUUACUGGUUGAAGGCACAUUGAUUAUUCUGGUUAUCAUUUCCGUUGUAUCUCUCGUAUCUUGCAUCCCCUUAGCAUGUCUCCCUCCUAAUAGUACAUGUUUAGCUUUUAUUUGUUGUUAUUUUGUACAUAUAUUGUCAUCUUCACAGGUUUGCUAUGUAGGUAUCCUGUCAUAGCACCGUCACUACUUCGUCGAGGUUAGGCUCGACAUAUACGGACUACAUGGGGUCGGUUGUACUCAUACUACACUCUGAACUUCUUGUGUAGAUUUUGGUACUGGCCCUAGCUAUUUGUGAGGCAUAGCAGCUUGGAUUUGCUCAUUGGAGACUCGAGGUAGAUCUAAUGAUGUCCGCAGACCUUGAAGUCCCCUUCUAUUUUACUAUUUUAAUGUUUCUUUCGUUUAAAACAAUUGUAUUUCUUUCAGACUCUAUAUGUAGGAAAUCUUAGAAGCUCGUGAGUUAUGACUCCUGAUCUGGAUAGUAGUAGAUGAUAUGGGCAUUUAUGUUAUUCCGCACUCAGUUUUAUUUCAUUUUAGCUUAAUUUACUGUAUUUAUUGAAACUGAAUAAAAAUUGGCUUAAUGAUUCUCUAAUGUUGGCUUGCCUAGCAAGUGAAAUGUUAGGCGUCAUCACAGUCCCGGAGGUGGGAAUUUCGGGUCAUGAAAAGUUGGUAUCAGAGCACUAGGUUUCCUAGGUCUCACAAUCCACGAGCAGUCUUAGUAGAGUUUGGAGGAUCGGUAAAGCCAUCUCCAACUUAGUUGUCCUCAACUGUUUUGAUUGGUAAAUUUCGGCCAUGAUAAAGGUUUAAACAGAAAACAAGUGAAUCUUAACAAAAAUUGUUACUAUCUUUGGAUGAAUAGCAAAUUUGCUUGAGUUUUUGGCAACAGAACCAAACUGUUCAACCCAAAAAAUAGUUUUCAAGGUCAAAGCAAUAAUUUUAUAUGACGGGCCACAAGCAACCGAUUCAAUCCAAAAGAUAUAAAAUUUCUUUAAUAUGACGUGAUAGAGAAGUGAUAAAUAAAUUCAAUAAAAAUAAAGCAGAGAAGAAAGAAUUCUUAUUGAAUGAUCCUUGGUAGGAUAAUGAGCCGAUCAGAGCUUGAAGGGCCGAACUAUGGCUAACUCGGAGCAUGAUGCUAUGAAUUACAAUGUAUAGAAGAAAAUUAGACUCCCCCCCCCCGAUGGUGGUAAAAGUAUGUCUAUUNNNNNNNNNNNNNNNNNNNNNNNNNUUUUUGGAAGACUUGUAACAGCUGUGUAAAUGUUGGAAUUCCGUAACUGAUGAGUUAAUUCCGUAAUUGAUGAGUUAAUUCCGUAACUGAUGAGUCAUCUCGUGCCUGUUGAGUGAAUCACGUGCCUAUUGAGUCUAUCUCAUGCCUGUUGAGUCAAUCUUGUAAUUGAUUGCCUUGUUCUGACCGUUACAAUCAUUUAUUGCAUUUGUUAAUAAUUGAUUUGUAACUGAUGGUGUAAUGAUGGUAAAUCCCAUAUAAUCUAGGAUUAAUUGAUUCCUCCUCAUUUGUAAUUAUGAAAUAUUCUCCCGCACAUGAUCUGGGCUAUUACAUGAUGAUCAGUUCCGAGGCUAGCAUGUACGGUACGAGUAUGGUCGGUCCCGAGGGUGUUUCAUAUAUCAUCUUUACAUAUCAUUCUUCACUUUUCUUCAAACUUUGCUGACACGUGUCGUCAUUUAAUAGACCCACAUGACGAAUCUAAUUUUUACUAAUACAGUAUUUUUAUAGAUUAAAGGAAUAAUGUAUAAGGUAACAAAUUUAUCAUGCCAAAAGUAGAAUAUAAGAUUAUUUUUAUAGAUAAAAAGAAUAAUGUAUAAGGUAACAAAUAUUUUAUCAGUUGGGUUUAGAUCCUCUAUCGAUUAUCUAAAUUUCCAAAACCUUUGUAACAAAAAUAUAGUCCAACACCCAACUGAUAAAUUUGUUACCUUAUGCAUUCAUUUUUUUUAUCUAUUACUGUAACCAUAUAUUCUGUUUUUGAUACCAUAAAAGAUCAGUUGAUACAGUACAAAGUAGUUCAUAACAACUUUCAACAAUAAUCAUACAGAAAGUGUGAAUCAAUUCCAAUAAAUAAUGAAGAAUUUCAGUAUUUUGUUCCUACUCUCAAUUGCUCUUCUGUUGAGCUUCUCAGCUCCUUCUCUUGGUAUGAAUUUCUUUACUUCUUAGCAUUAAUCUAUUUCAUUUGAUUUUGCAUCAAAUUUUAAUUCCAUUGUUUCCGUGCGACCUUAUUUACCCUCAAAAAAGGUACAAUUGAAUUUAUAACAUGGUUUAUAAACACGUAAUUUAAAUUGAUCCGAGAAAAUAAUUCCAUUGUUUACUUUGUCCUCAAUCAAUUGUACCUUUUUUAAGGGGAAAACAGACAUAUAGUUCACGAGUUCGAGCCUGGCCACGAGUUCGAGCCGUAAAAUCAGGCACUGAUAUUUACAUCAGAGUAGGAUGUCUACAUUACACCCCCUUGGGGUGCAGCCCUUCCCCGGACCCUGCGUGAACAUGAGAUGUUUUAUGCACCGGACUACCAUUUUAAUUGUCAUGAUAUAAAGGCUAAUUUAUUAUUUUUAUUGGUUUGGUCUUAUAAUUUUAGGGCAACCACCAAAAUUAUGUCCAACGAGCUUCCCAGUGGACGAUAAGUGUGGCAAUUUCAGUUGCGCUUUAGAAGCCAUAAAAAGAUAUCCAGCAAGUGAAAUGCCCCAAAAAUGCAGUUGUAGUUCACAAGGGAGUGGCAGCCUAUGCUCUUGCUCCAUAGUUUGCCAACCUCCAAAAUAAAAUGCAAUUAUAUUAGCAAGUUUAUGAGUAUAUUGUUCUGGGAAUUGUUUUGAUAAACUCCAUGGAGUAUGUAAACAGGAAAUUUACAUUUCCAAUAUUCGCUAUCUAAUAAAAGAGUAAAGUUUGGGAAUUCGGC
rnacentral:lncRNA from 1 species